rnacentral:rRNA from 1 species
ACGUAGGUGGCAAGCGUUGUCCGGAUUUAUUGGGUUUAAAGGGUUCGUAGGCGGCCCAUUAAGUCAGUGGUGAAAGCCCUCUGCUCAACAGAGGAAUUGCCAUUGAUACUGAUGGUCUUGAGUGUAAGUGAAGUUGGCGGAAUGUGUGGUGUAGCGGUGAAAUGCUUAGAUAUCACACAGAACACCGAUUGCGAAGGCAGCUGGCUAACUUACAACUGACGCUGAGGAACGAAAGUGUGGGGAUCAAACAGGAUUAGAUACCCUGGUAGUCCACACCGUAAACGAUGAUUACUCGAUUUUGGCCGUAAGGUCAGAGUCCAAGCGAAAGUGUUUAGUAAUCCACCUGGGGAGUACGUCCGCAAGGAUG